ACCUGGCUGGCUCAGUUGGAAGAGCGUGUGACUCUUGAUUUCAGGGUCAUGAGUUUGAGCCCCAUGUUGGGUG
rfam:Ailuropoda melanoleuca scaffold1189_13, whole genome shotgun sequence.